rnacentral:rRNA from 1 species
GACGAACGCUGGCGGCGUGCCUAAUACAUGCAAGUAGAACGCUGAAGGACGGGCUUGCUGCUCUGGACGAGUUGCGAACGGGUGAGUAACGCGUAGGUAACCUGCCUGGUAGUGGGGGAUAACUUUUGGAAACGAUAGCUAAUACCGCAUAAGAGUAGAUGUCGCAUGACAUUUGCUUAAAAGUUGCAAUUGCUUCACUACCAGAUGGACCUGCGCUGUAUUAGCUAGUUGGUGAGGUAACGGCUCACCAAGGCAACGAUACAUAGCCGACCUGAGAGGGGGAUCGGCCACACUGGGACUGAGACACGGCCCAGACUCCUACGGGAGGCAGCAGUAGGGAAUCUUCGGCAAUGGACGGAAGUCUGACCGAGCAACGCCGCGUGAGUGAAGAAGGUUUUCGGAUCGUAAAGCUCUGUUGUAAGAGAAGAACGAGUGUGAGAGUGGAAAGUUCACACUGUGACGGUAUCUUACCAGAAAGGGACGGCUAACUACGUG